CGUGCUUACACAUGCAAGUCGAACGGAAAGGCCCUGCUUUUGUGGGGUGCUCGAGUGGCGAACGGGUGAGUAACACGUGAGUAACCUGCCCUUGACUUUGGGAUAACUUCAGGAAACUGGGGCUAAUACCGGAUAGGAGCUCCUGCUGCAUGGUGGGGGUUGGAAAGUUUCGGCGGUUGGGGAUGGACUCGCGGCUUAUCAGCUUGUUGGUGGGGUAGUGGCUUACCAAGGCUUUGACGGGUAGCCGGCCUGAGAGGGUGACCGGCCACAUUGGGACUGAGAUACGGCCCAGACUCCUACGGGAGGCAGCAGUGGGGAAUAUUGCACAAUGGGCGGAAGCCUGAUGCAGCAACGCCGCGUGCGGGAUGACGGCCUUCGGGUUGUAAACCGCUUUCGCCUGUGACGAAGCGUGAGUGACGGUAAUGGGUAAAGAAGCACCGGCUAACUACGUGCCAGCAGCCGCGGUGAUACGUAGGGUGCGAGCGUUGUCCGGAUUUAUUGGGCGUAAAGGGCUCGUAGGUGGUUGAUCGCGUCGGAAGUGUAAUCUUGGGGCUUAACCCUGAGCGUGCUUUCGAUACGGGUUGACUUGAGGAAGGUAGGGGAGAAUGGAAUUCCUGGUGGAGCGGUGGAAUGCGCAGAUAUCAGGAGGAACACCAGUGGCGAAGGCGGUUCUCUGGGCCUUUCCUGACGCUGAGGAGCGAAAGCGUGGGGAGCGAACAGGCUUAGAUACCCUGGUAGUCCACGCUGUAAACGGUGGGUACUAGGUGUGGGGUCCAUUCCACGGGUUCCGUGCCGUAGCUAACGCUUUAAGUACCCCGCCUGGGGAGUACGGCCGCAAGGCUAAAACUCAAAGGAAUUGACGGGGCCCCGCACAAGCGGCGGAGCAUGCGGAUUAAUUCGAUGCAACGCGUAGAACCUUACCUGGGUUUGACAUGGAUCGGGAGUGCUCAGAGAUGGGUGUGCCUCUUUUGGGGUCGGUUCACAGGUGGUGCAUGGCUGUCGUCAGCUCGUGUCGUGAGAUGUUGGGUUAAGUCCCGCAACGAGCGCAACCCUUGUUCACUGUUGCCAGCACGUUAUGGUGGGGACUCAGUGGAGACCGCCGGGGUCAACUCGGAGGAAGGUGGGGAUGACGUCAAGUCAUCAUGCCCCUUAUGUCCAGGGCUUCACGCAUGCUACAAUGGCUGGUACAGAGAGUGGCGAGCCUGUGAGGGUGAGCGAAUCUCGGAAAGCCGGUCUCAGUUCGGAUUGGGGUCUGCAACUCGACCUCAUGAAGUCGGAGUCGCUAGUAAUCGCAGAUCAGCAACGCUGCGGUGAAUACGUUCCCGGGGCUUGUACACACCGCCCGUCAAGUCAUGAAAGUUGGUAACACCCGAAGCCGGUGGCCUAACCGUUGUGGGGGAGCCGUCGAAGGUGGGACUGGUGAUUAGGAC
rnacentral:rRNA from 1 species